CCUACGGGAGGCAGCAGUGGGGAAUAUUGCACAAUGGGCGCAAGCCUGAUGCAGCGACGCCGCGUGGGGGAUGAAGGCCUUCGGGUUGUAAACCCCUUUCAGCAGGGAAGAAGCGAGAGUGACGGUACCUGCAGAAGAAGCGCCGGCUAACUACGUGCCAGCAGCCGCGGUAAUACGUAGGGCGCAAGCGUUGUCCGGAAUUAUUGGGCGUAAAGAGCUCGUAGGCGGUUUGUCGCGUCUGCUGUGAAAACCCGAGGCUCAACCUCGGGCCUGCAGUGGGUACGGGCAGACUAGAGUGCGGUAGGGGAGACUGGAAUUCCUGGUGUAGCGGUGGAAUGCGCAGAUAUCAGGAGGAACACCGAUGGCGAAGGCAGGUCUCUGGGCCGCAACUGACGCUGAGGAGCGAAAGCAUGGGGAGCGAACAGGAUUAGAUACCCUGGUAGUCCAUGCCGUAAACGUUGGGCACUAGGUGUGGGGCUCAUUCCACGAGUUCCGUGCCGCAGCAAACGCAUUAAGUGCCCCGCCUGGGGAGUACGGCCGCAAGGCUAAAACUCAAAGGAAUUGACGGGGGCCCGCACAAGCGGCGGAGCAUGCGGAUUAAUUCGAUGCAACGCGAAGAACCUUAC
rnacentral:rRNA from 1 species